GACAGAGGGUGCAAACGUUGUUCGGAAUUACUGGGCGUAAAGCGCGUGUAGGCGGCUGCGCAAGUCGGAUGUGAAAUCCCAUGGCUCAACCAUGGAAGAGCACCCGAAACUGCGUAGCUAGAGUCUCGGAGAGGAAGGUGGAAUGCUUGGUGUAGAGGUGAAAUUCGUAGAUAUCAAGCAGAACAUCGGUGGCGAAGGCGCUCUGCUGGACCAUAACUGACACUCAGGGACGAAAGCUAGGGGAGCGAAUGGG
rnacentral:rRNA from 1 species